rnacentral:rRNA from 1 species
GAGUUUGAUCAUGGUUCAGGACGAACGCUGGCGGCACGCCUAACACAUGCAAGUCGAACGGAGAUAAUUGAGUUUACUUAAUUAUCUUAGUGGCGGACGGGUGAGUAACACGUGAGCAACCUGCCUCUGAGAGAGGGAUAGCUUCUGGAAACGGAUGGUAAUACCUCAUAACAUAUGCUUAAGGCAUCUUAGGCAUAUCAAAGAUUUAUCACUCAGAGAUGGGCUCGCGUCUGAUUAGCUAGAUGGUGAGGUAACGGCUCACCAUGGCGACGAUCAGUAGCCGGACUGAGAGGUUGAACGGCCACAUUGGGACUGAGACACGGCCCAGACUCCUACGGGAGGCAGCAGUGGGGAAUAUUGCACAAUGGGGGAAACCCUGAUGCAGCGAUGCCGCGUGGAGGAAGAAGGUUUUCGGAUUGUAAACUCCUGUCUUAAAGGACGAUAAUGACGGUACUUUAGGAGGAAGCUCCGGCUAACUACGUGCCCAGCAGCCGCGGGUAAUCC